rnacentral:tRNA from 5 species
GGGCCUAUAGCUCAGUUGGCUAGAGCGCAUGCAUGGCAUGCAUGAGGUCGGCGGUUCGAGCCCGCCUAGGUCCA